rnacentral:rRNA from 1 species
UACAGAGGUCUCGAGCGUUGUUCGGAUUCAUUGGGCGUAAAGGGUGCGUAGGUGGCACUGUAAGUCGGGUGUGAAAUCCUGGGGCUUAACCCCGGAACUGCAUUCGAUACUGCAGUGCUUGAGGACUGGAGAGGAGAUUGGAAUUCAUGGUGUAGCAGUGAAAUGCGUAGAGAUCAUGAGGAAGACCAGUGGCGAAGGCGGGUCUCUGGACAGUUCCUGACACUGAGGCACGAAGGCCAGGGGAGCAAACGGG